rnacentral:lncRNA from 1 species
CUCUUCUGAAGAGACCACAGCAGCAUAUUGCUGCAUGCUCAGUGCUGUCGUCAGGCUGUUAGUUCUUAACUGGAGAAAAGCUGAAGGCAGCUGGAAUCCCUUCCUGAGCCUUUCCUCAGUUUGUUCUGAAUUCGAUAAAAAAUGGCAAUAAUUUGGAGACAGAUAUAGAAAGAAGAAAUAAAAGUGAUUUCACAAUAAGCCCCUUGGCUUGCCACUCGUGACCACAGGCAGAUAUUAGAAGUGCUAAAUCCAUUAAAUGUUGCUUUUCCAGAAGCCGAAAUGUUUUCAGCCAAACCGCUCUCUUGCCGGCAGCUUCGGAUGCUGUAGCGGGAACCAGAGCAGCCCAAGGAGAGAAGCAAACAAUUAAAACAUUUACAUGUUUGCUUCCUGAUAGACAUCUCUACAAGGCAAGAUUCUUCAGAGCCUGAGUGACUUCAGAAGGAGAAACUUAUUAGAAGAAGUCUUUGCCAUUAUAUGUAUAGUAAGUUCACCUCCCAUGUGUGCUUGUGCUCCAUACAGAGCUGGGAUGCAUGAGAGGAAUGGGCACAUGCGGUUUGAUCUCAUUUUGCUCACCAUGGAAAGGGACAGCUGCAGUGAGCUGCCUGUUUUCUGAGUUAUCAGCUGCCAGACAGCCUGUAACACCUCAGCCAGAGGCACAGGGACCUCACCAUAAGUGCAUGCUGGCCUAAGGCCAUACCUGCACAUGCAAGGUGCAGAUCCUUUGGACUCCACACCUGUAGUGUGGCAUCCACAAAGCAGCAGCAGCAAAGCAGUUACCACUGUGUGCAAACAGCUUGCUGUGAUUAACCUAUCAGGGCUCAUGCUUGUCUGAGGACAGCUGGAGCUGGUAAGAUGUUUGCCUUGCAGUACCCAGAAAGCUGGAUAUCUCUUGGAGUGGUUCUGGAUGGUUACACACAAAUUGGAGACAUUGGUCUCCUGCCAGACCAGGCAGAAAUAACACAGCAAGAUGCCUCAGGGAAGCAAGGAAGUUGUUCAGGACUUCCUCUUCCCUCAACAACAGCAAACCUGAAAGCCAUAGAGGGGCAGGCUGGAGAACUGAGCUUGGCUGAAGACCUCUUGUCACUGACACUCCCAUGCUCCCAUCUUGGGCUGCUGGAGAGUGGCAUGUCCUUCAUGACUCACUGUACCCUCACAGUCAUAGCUCAUCUUCUGUGCCUGGCUGAGCACAGAGGGCCAAUCAUGCUGCAGGACCUCAGUGUAAGAUGUCGUCACAACAAGCAAUUGGAAAAGCCAAAGAAGGCUGAAAUCCAUGGCUGUGAAGAUGGAGUUGGCUGUUUCACUAUGAGAUGUGGAGGAAAUAUUUAUCCUACACCUACCGCAGCCAGACUGCAGUUGUUGAGUUGAGUGACAAGGAAACGGGAGCCUGGGAUGUCUCAGCACAAGCUUCCCUAAGCCUUGACUUGGUGGGUGAGCACCUGAACACAGCCAGAGCCUGUUACAUUAAAGGCUUUAUAAAAGCAACAGUGCCAGGCUGACAUCCACCUCCCACGUUACCGGCAGCCCCAGCAGGUGUAAUGCGAUCCGGCAGGCGCAGCUAGCAGAUAAACAAACGGCCUUUCUGCACAGGUUGUGCCAGAGAGCCUCUCCCAGCAGGGAAUUGGGUUGGAUGUUGUACUAGGUCAGUGAGCUGCUAUGGAAAGAGCUGUGACAAUGGACAAUAUUGUCCUUUUUCCACACAGGAUUUUCCCUCAACACUUAAGGCAAGGCAGCAGAAAAACCGUUGGGGAAAGUUUCUCUACCAGGCCUCAGAAGUUUAGUGGGAUUGGGCCCUCAAUGGGGGCCUACUGCUGGAUUUCCCUAGGCCGUCACUUCAAUGCCGCCAGGCCAGCCAGCAGCGCUGAGGGCUGCCUGCCAGAGCUGCUUGCUUGCUCUGCCAUUGGGGCUCAUCUCUAGUGAGUAAUAUUAACCAAAGGCCUUCCUACUUGGCUACAACAUAUCUUCCUUCUUCAUUAAGGAGCUAAGCUAAGCUGCCCAGCUGUGGUAAAUUUCCCUUGCUCCACAGCUGAGGUAAUAAUGAUGCAUUCCCAGGAGCAGGGCCUGCACCCUGUGUGCCACAUUGGGCCUGGUGGUGUGUGGGCACAUUGCUCCACACCACACCAAAAUGGCGUCCGUCUGGUACUGCCCCACAGCGUGUGGGCGCACCAUACCACUCCAAAAUGGUGUCCAUCCUGCACUUCUCUGCAGCUUAAGGGCACUCUACAACAAAAUGGUGGCUGUUCAGCACUGCCCAGCAGUGUGUGGCACUCCACAACAAAAUGGCGGCUGUCCAGCACUGCCCUGCAGUGUGUGGCACUCCACACCACACCAAAAUGGUGUCUGUCCUGCGCUGCCCUGUAACUUGUGGGUGUACUAGAGCAAAAUUGUGGGUGAAUUGCAGUGCUGCUGUAGCAUAUGGAC